rnacentral:piRNA from 1 species
CUGGGGACAUAUUGGGCAGCAGUACCUG